rnacentral:tRNA from 1 species
GGGCUCGUAGCUCAGUUGGUAGAGCGCUCGGUUUGCAUCCGAGAGGUCAGGGGUUCGAAUCCCCUCGAGUCCACCA